UGUGUGUGUCGAUGAGCAGGAAGGAAGAAAAGGGUUCAAACCCUAGUUUCUUCAAAAUCUUCAAAUUAAAAGGGAAAUCGAAGGCUAGUUGACUGCAUAAACUAAGAAUGGUGAUCAUCUAAGCAUUUCCUACAUCAACAUUAGGGAUCAUGUGGACAUGGACUCAAGCACGAAAGACUAACGGGUCAAGAUGAGGCAAGCAAGCGGGUAUGAACACGGAUGCACAAGGUUGUGCGGGUCACGGAGGAUCAUCGAGGAAUAAAGAUCGAAGAACGAGUCACAUAAGGGAUUGUACGGGGUUGUCUAAGGAUGCAAAUUGUUGUACAUAAGCUAUGAUUUAUUCUAUAAUUGAGUCAGUUUGUCGUAUUCAAUAUAAAAGAGUUAUUAUAAAAGUGAACUUUCAAGUAAGACGUAAGGUUUAUAAUGAAAGAAUUUUUAUGGCAUGAACUUCCGCUGCAACUUUAGUUAAUUACGUGUUAGGGUGUUACAAGUUGGUAUCAGAGCCCUGGUUUGAGAGAAUCAAGUACAAGAGGAUAGGUACUUGAACUCGAACCUGUGUGCUCUUAUCACAAGAAACCCGUACAAUCCGAGACUCGACCAAGAUCUAAAGGUAGGAUCAAAGGUAAGUAUGUGCUUAAGUAUGUAUUGGAAGAUAACUAACUAUAUGUUAUGUGUAAGGUAAGCAUGGUUGCUUGAAAGGAAUGAUUUGUGGAUGCGGUCUAGCACCGACGCCAAGGUAUGUAAUUUGACAUAUUGACCCAAGUACAUAUGUUUAAUAUAUGUAAGUACAUG